GCCGCGGAAUGUGGGAUCCUCCCGGACCGGGGCAGGAACCCACGUCCCCUGCAUCGGCAGGCGGACUCUCAACCACUGCGCCACCAGGGAAGCCCCUUCUCUCACCUUCUGAUAACAACUCCUCAAGGAUGGUAACUUUACCCCAUUUUGCAGGGGCCUCGGCCUCCGGUCCCCAGCCACUCCCAUGUGAGAGGAUGCUGUGAGAAUGGACUAGUACAGGAGCGUGCUUAGAACAGCGCCUGGCCCUCAGGGAGAGCGCAGUAGACGUUUAUCAUCAUCAUCCUCUAUUUACUCCUCACAACAAGCCCCUGAAGUCUCAGCAUUAUGCUCCUGUUUAACAGGUGUCACCGUCGAGGGCCAGGGGGCUACAGGUUUCACUCACUCAUUCGACACGUUGUCAGAUGCCACCAAACACGGUCCUACGUCCUGAGGAUACAGGGUGAUCAACGAACGUCCCCACCCUUGAGGACAUUCAAAGGGUGGGCGGUUUGGGGGGAGGGGAGGGGCAGAUGCUACAGGAAAAAACAAUACCUUGCAAGGCAGUAUGCGCUAUGCAGAAGAAAGCAGGGUAUGGGGCCGCCAUCGCCAGACCCCCAGGUGCCCUCCUCGCCCUGCUUGGCCUCCAAACCACACAUCAGGAGGCUGCUGCCCUGCCCGGCCUCCCUCCCUCACCGUGGAGCUCCCCAGCCUCUGGGAUUGGGGAAGGGAGGAGUGUGAAGCUGGAGGCACAGCAGGCCGGCUCCCACCUCCCCCUGGCCCAGGCCUCUUGGCUGAAGCUGGUUUGAGCCAGUUUCUUUCACUUUAUCACCUUGAACAUUUCACUGGAACCUUCUAAAUGCAGCUUUUUUAAAAAUAGAUUUUUAUUUACUUUGGCUGCGUUGGGUCUUCGUUUUUUGCGUGCGGGCUUUCUCUAGUUGCGGC